UACGGAGGGAGCUAGCGUUGUUCGGAAUUACUGGGCGUAAAGCGCACGUAGGCGGCGAUUCAAGUCAGAGGUGAAAGCCCGGGGCUCAACCCCGGAACUGCCUUUGAAACUAGAUUGCUAGAAUCCUGGAGAGGUGAGUGGAAUUCCGAGUGUAGAGGUGAAAUUCGUAGAUAUUAGGAAGAACACCGGUGGCGAAGGCGGCCCACUGGAUCGGUACUGACGCUGAGGUGCGAAAGCGUGGGGAGCAAACAGG
rnacentral:rRNA from 1 species